AAUUUUUCGCAAUGGGGGAAACCCUGACGAAGCAACGCCGCGUGGAGGAUGAAGGCCUUCGGGUCGUAAACUCCUGUCGACCGGGACGAACGUAGCUGGGUCCAAUACACCCGGCUAUCGACUGUACCGGUGGAGGAAGCCACGGCUAACUCUGUGCCAGCAGCCGCGGUAAUACAGAGGUCCCGAGCGUUGUUCGGAUUCACUGGGCGUAAAGGGUGCGUAGGUGGCAUGGUAAGUUUGAUGUGAAAGCUCAGGGCUUAACCCUGAAAUGGCAUUGAAUACUACUGUGCUGGAGGUUUGGAGGGGGGACUGGAAUUCUCGGUGUAGCAGUGAAAUGCGUAGAUAUCGAGAGGAACACCAGUGGCGAAGGCGAGUCCCUGGACAACACCUGACACUGAGGCACGAAAGCUAGGGGAGCAAAC
rnacentral:rRNA from 1 species